AGAAUCAACGCUGGCGGCGUGCCUAACACAUGCAAGUCGAACGAGAAAGUGGGAGCAAUCCCACGAGUAAAGUGGCGCACGGGUGAGUAACACGUGACUAACCUGCCCUUGAGUGGGGGAUAACCUAGGGAAACCUGGGCUAAUACCGCAUAAUACCUACGGGUCAAAGGAGCAAUUCGCUUUAGGAGGGGGUCGCGGCAGAUUAGUUAGUUGGCGGGGUAAUGGCCCACCAAGACAGUGAUCUGUA
rnacentral:rRNA from 1 species